CCAAACGCAUGCAUAUAGACAGAGCAUGCAGUGCAGAGUAUUAAAAAAAAAAAAAGCCUAGUAGAUUUGGUGCAGCUUUUGAAACUUAGUUAGACGUGAACUGAAUACAGGUUUAAAUUUUAAUUCCAGAACCUAAAAAUGCAGGAUGUUUUUGAUAGAACAUAACUCUGAGAGUAGUAGAUGUUCCCUGGGGCAUAAAGGGUAGCUAGGAGGGGUUUUGACAGUCAGUCCUCUAUUUUUACCAGCAGCACCUUUCACUGACUUCUCUCUUCAGUGAGUCCCAUUCCUUUUAAAGGAUGAAAAGGAAGUGGCCAUAAACUGACUGGUAUGUUCUGUUUAUGGUGGCACACUUGUAAGCACAGUGCCUGCCUUGUGAAGAGUUAAGAUAUGAGACAACGAAAGUGACCUUGAGGGUCCAAUUAUCUUCACAAAUGAGAUUUCAGCCUUGGCUUUAAGAUUUAUAAUAAAUGCUUUAAUCUUAUAAAAAGCUUUUGCUGGAACAUUGAACUCCUUGGAUUCUUCUGGUUUUGACCCAUUAAAAAAUCAGUAUCUGUCAAACUAGUGGUCAAACAAAUGAGAAUCCAGCCCAAGAGUAAUUUACAAGUUGUCACUUCCCCUGUAUUGUUUCCCACUUGGAAGAAAUUAAGAUCUGCCAAAUACCUAUUUCAAGGGUAUUUAAAAUCUAAACAUUCAAAACCAAAGACUAAUUUUAGGUCUUUUGGACGUGGGUGGGGAAGAGAGAACAGAAAAGGUAAUAAGGGAGACUUGAUACUGAGGGGGUUACAGCAAAAGUUAUGAGUGUUUCCCCU
rnacentral:lncRNA from 1 species